CCUGAAAGAACCUGCCUUUGUAGUGCUCACACAGAUUGUCUGAUGAAAAGUAAAUAGCAAGGCGUCUUGCGAUUGAGACUUCAGUGUCCCCUUCGUCUAGAGGCCCAGGACACCGCCCUUUCACGGCGGUAACAGGGGUUCGAAUCCCCUAGGGGACGCCACUUGCUGGUUCGUGAGUGAAAGUCACCUGCCUUAAUAUCUCAAAACUGAUUCUCAGGAGUCACGUUUGAGAUAUUUGCUUUUUAAAAAUCUGGAUCAAGCUGAAAAUUGAAACGACACACUGUUUCCUUUCUCCGUAAACAAGAAAGGAAAAGCGGUGUGUUCGAGUCUCUCAAAUUUUCGCAACGCGGGCUGUUUUACGAAACAGUUUCGGGUUGUGA
rnacentral:misc_RNA from 1 species